ACUCCUACGGGAGGCAGCAGUGGGGAAUAUUGGACAAUGGGCGCAAGCCUGAUCCAGCCAUGCCGCGUGAGUGAUGAAGGCCCUAGGGUUGUAAAGCUCUUUCACCGGUGAAGAUAAUGACGGUAACCGGAGAAGAAGCCCCGGCUAACUUCGUGCCAGCAGCCGCGGUAAUACGAAGGGGGCUAGCGUUGUUCGGAUUUACUGGGCGUAAAGCGCACGUAGGCGGACUAUUAAGUCAGGGGUGAAAUCCCGGGGCUCAACCCCGGAACUGCCUUUGAUACUGGUAGUCUUGAGUUCGAGAGAGGUGAGUGGAAUUCCGAGUGUAGAGGUGAAAUUCGUAGAUAUUCGGAGGAACACCAGUGGCGAAGGCGGCUCACUGGCUCGAUACUGACGCUGAGGUGCGAAAGCGUGGGGAGCAAACAGGAUUAGAUACCCCAGUAGUCCCAUGA
rnacentral:rRNA from 1 species